rnacentral:lncRNA from 1 species
GCAGACACAAUCUGCGAGGGAACCUCGCUGGAGUCUUCUGAGCCCUGAAACCUGGUCCUCAGGGCUGGGACCCGGGCUCCACGCAUGUGGCUGGAGUGCAAUGGCGCGAUCUCGGCUCACCGCAACCUCCUCUUUCCGGGUUCAAGCGAUUCUCCUGCCUCAGCCUCCGGAGUAGCUGGCAUUACAGCCGGGAAGGAACCACUCCAGCCUCCCGUCCAAACAGAACCCUACAGGGCCCUACCUCGAUCAGAGGAAAAACGCACAGAAGCACACGCAUACGGUUUUCGAAAAAUGUCGGGAAGUUC